ACUUUCAACAACGGAUCUCUUGGUUCUGGCAUCGAUGAAGAACGCAGCGAAAUGCGAUAAGUAAUGUGAAUUGCAGAAUUCAGUGAAUCAUCGAAUCUUUGAACGCACAUUGCGCCCGCCGGUAUUCCGGCGGGCAUGCCUGUUCGAGCGUCAUUUCAACCCUCAAGCCUCGGCUUGGUGUUGGGGCGCCCGGGCCCUCCGCGGCCCGGGGCCCCCAAGUUCAUCGGCGGGCUCGUCGGUACACUGAGCGCAGUAAAACGCGGUAAAACGCGAACCUCGUUCGGAUCGUCCCGGCGUGCUCCAGCCGCUAAACCCCCAAUUCUUUAAAGGUUGACCUCGGAUCAGGUAGGAAUACCCGCUGAACUUAAGCAUAUCAAUAAGCGGAGGAAAAGAAACCAACAGGGAUUGCCCCAGUAACGGCGAGUGAAGCGGCAACAGCUCAAAUUUGAAAUCUGGCCCCCCGGCCCGAGUUGUAAUUUGCAGAGGAUGCUUUUGGUGAGGCACCUACCGAGUCCCCUGGAAUGGGGCGCCAUAGAGGGUGAGAGCCCCGUAUGGUAGGACGCCGAACCUCUGUAAAGCUCCUUCGACGAGUCGAGUAGUUUGGGAAUGCUGCUCUAAAUGGGAGGUAAAUUUCUUCUAAAGCUAAAUACCGGCCAGAGACCGAUAGCGCACAAGUAGAGUGAUCGAAAGAUGAAAAGCACUUUGAAAAGAGGGUUAAAAAGUACGUGAAAUUGUUGAAAGGGAAGCGCUUGUGACCAGACUUGCGCCGGGCGGAUCAUCCAGCGUUCUCGCUGGUGCACUCCGCCCGGUUCAGGCCAGCAUCGGUUUUCGCCGGGGGACAAAGGCUUCGGGAACGUGGCUCCUUUCGGGGAGUGUUAUAGCCCGUUGCGUAAUACCCCGGCGGGGACCGACGACCGCGCUUCGGCAAGGAUGCUGGCGUAAUGGUCAUCAGCGACCCGUCUUGAAACACGGACCGAGGAGUCAAGCAUUAGUGCGAGUGUUUGGGUGUAAAACCCGCACGCGUAAUGAAAGUGAACGUAGGUGAGAGCUUCGGCGCAUCAUCGACCGAUCCUGAUGUUUUCGGAAGGAUUUGAGUAGGAGCAUUAACGCUUGGACCCGAAAGAUGGUGAACUAUACUUGAAUAGGGUGAAGCCAGAGGAAACUCUGGUGGAGGCUCGCAGCGGUUCUGACGUGCAAAUCGAUCGUCAAAUUUGAGUAUAGGGGCGAAAGACUAAUCGAACCAUCUAGUAGCUGGUUUCAGCCGAAGUUUCCCUCAGGAUAGCAGUGUCGUCUUCAGUUUUAUGAGGUAAAGCGAAUGAUUAGGGACUCGGGGGCGAUUUUUAGCCUUCAUCCAUUCUCAAACUUUAAAUAUGUAAGAAGCCCUUGUUACUUAGUUGAACGUGGGCCUUCGAAUGUACCGACACUAGUGGGCCAUUUUUGGUAAGCAGAACUGGCGAUGCGGGAUGAACCGAACGCGGGGUUAAGGUGCCGGAGUGGACGCUCAUCAGACACCACAAAAGGCGUUAGUACAUCUUGACAGCAGGACGGUGGCCAUGGAAGUCGGAAUCCGCUAAGGACUGUGUAACAACUCACCUGCCGAAUGUACUAGCCCUGAAAAUGGAUGGCGCUCAAGCGUCCCACCCAUACCCCGCCCCCAGGGUAGAAACGAUGCCCUGGGGAGUAGGCUGACGCGGGGGUAGCGACGAAGGCUAGGGCGUGAGCCCGGCUAGAGCUGCCCCUGGUGCAAAUCUCGGUGAGAGUAGCAAAUACUUCAAUGAGAACUUGAAGGACCGAAGUGGGGAAAGGUUCCAUGUGAACAGCAGUUGGACGUGGGUUAGCCGAUCCUGAGCCAUAGGGAAGUUCCGUUUCAAAGGGGCGCUAGCGCCCCGUAUGGCGAAAGGGAAGCAGGUUAAUAUUCCUGCGCCUGGAUGUGGGUUUUUCGCGGCAACGCAACUGAACGCGGAGACGGCGGCGGGGGCCC
rnacentral:rRNA from 1 species